GACGAACGCUGGCGGCGUGCUUAACACAUGCAAGUCGAACGGAAAGGCCUCUUUCGGGGGGUACUCGAGUGGCGAACGGGUGAGUAACACGUGAGUAACCUGCCCUUGACUUUGGGAUAACUUCAGGCAACUGGGGCUAAUACCGGAUAGGAGCUCCUGCUGCAUGGUGGGGGUUGGAAAGUUUCGGCGGUUGGGGAUGGACUCGCGGCUUAUCAGCUUGUUGGUGGGGUAGUGGCUUACCAAGGCUUUGACGGGUAGCCGGCCUGAGAGGGUGACCGGCCACAGUGGGACUGAGAUACGGCCCAGACUCCUACGGGAGGCAGCAGUGGGGAAGAUUGCACAAUGGGUGGAAGCCUGAUGCAGCAACGCCGUGUGCGGGAUGACGGCCUUCGGGUUGUAAACCGCUUUCGCUCAUGACGAAGCUUUGUGUGACGGUAGUGGGUAAAGAAGCACCGGCUAACUACGUG
rnacentral:rRNA from 1 species